ACCCUGUCUGGGGGGUGCCCGCAAGGGCAAGGCCAGCAGCAGAUUAGCCGGUUUAGUGCUGCUUUUCAAAAAAACACCGGCAGUC
rnacentral:sRNA from 1 species